AGUGGCGGACGGGUGAGUAACGCGUGAGAAUCUGCCUUGGGGUCGGGGACAACCACUGGAAACGGUGGCUAAUACCGGAUAAGCCGAUUGGUGAAAGAUUUAUUGCCCGAAGAGGAGCUCGCGUCUGAUUAGCUAGUUGGUGAGGUAAGAGCUCACCAAGGCAGCGAUCAGUAGCUGGUCUGAGAGGACGAUCAGCCACACUGGGACUGAGACACGGCCCAGACUCCUACGGGAGGCAGCAGUGGGGAAUUUUCCGCAAUGGGCGAAAGCCUGACGGAGCAAGACCGCGUGAGGGAGGAAGGCUCUUGGGUUGUAAACCUCUUUUCUCAGGGAAGAAGCUCUGACGGUACCUGAGGAAUCAGCCUCGGCUAACUCCGUGCCAGCAGCCGCGGUAAUACGGAGGAGGCAAGCGUUAUCCGGAAUUAUUGGGCGUAAAGCGCCCGCAGGUGGCGAUUCAAGUCUGCUGUCAAAGCACGGGGCUUAACUCCGUAAAGGCAGUGGAAACUGAAUAGCUAGAGUGCCGUAGGGGUAGAGGGAAUUCCCGGUGUAGCGGUGAAAUGCGUAGAGAUCGGGAAGAACAUCGGUGGCGAAAGCGCUCUACUGGACGGCAACUGACACUCAGGGACGAAAGCUAGGGGAGCGAAUGGGAUUAGAUACCCC
rnacentral:rRNA from 1 species